GUGGGGAAUAUUGGACAAUGGGCGAAAGCCUGAUCCAGCCAUGCCGCGUGUGUGAAGAAGGUCUUCGGAUUGUAAAGCACUUUAAGUUGGGAGGAAGGGCAGUAAGUUAAUACCUUGCUGUUUUGACGUUACCGACAGAAUAAGCACCGGCUAACUUCGUGCCAGCAGCCGCGGUAAUACGAAGGGUGCAAGCGUUAAUCGGAAUUACUGGGCGUAAAGCGCGCGUAGGUGGUUUUGUAAGUUGGAGGUGAAAUCCCCGGGCUCAACCUGGGAACUGCCUCAGAAACUGCAUGACUAGAGUACGGUAGAGGGUAGUGGAAUUUCCUGUGUAGCGGUGAAAUGCGUAGAUAUAGGAAGGAACACCAGUGGCGAAGGCGACUACCUGGACUGAUACUGACACUGAGGUGCGAAAGCGUGGGGAGCAAACAGGAUUAGAAACCCUGGUAGUCC
rnacentral:rRNA from 1 species